ensembl:lncRNA
UGUUAGUCUUGGUAAUUUAUAUUUUUGUAAAUAUUCAUCCAUAUCACCUAAAUUGGUAUAUUUAUUGCCGUAUAAUUGGGCAAAGUAGUUUUUAAUGAUUGCCUUAAUUUCCUCUUUAUUGGAGGCAAGUUCCCCCUUGUCAUCUUUGAUGCUGUUAAUUUGCUUUUCUUCUUUCCUUUUUUUAAAUUAUAUUGACCAUUACUUUGUCUAUUUUGUUUGUUUUCUCAAAGUACCAGCUUCUAGUCUUAUUUAUUAGUUCAAUAGUUCUAUCACUUUCGAUUUUAUUAAUUUCUCCCUUAGUUUUUACAAUCUCUAGUUUGGUUUUCUUCUGGGGGUUUUUCAUUUGUUCACUUUCAACUUUUUUUAUUUGCAUUUCCAAUUCAUUGAUCUCUGCCCUCCCUAAUUUGUUAAUAUAUGCACUCAGGGAUAUGAAUUUUCCCCUGAGUACUGCUUUGGCUGCAUCCCAUAAGGUUUGAAAGGAUGUCUCACCAUUGUCAUUUUCCUCGAUGAAAUUAUUAAUUGUUUCUAUGAUUUGUUCUCUAUCUAAUAGAUUUUGGCGUAUCAUAUUAUUUAAUUUCCAAUUAAUUUUUGAUUUGGCUCUCCACCUUACUGAUCAUUAUUUUUAUUGCCUUAUGAUCUAAAAAGGCUGCAUUUAUUAUUUCUGCUUUUCUGCAUUUGUCUGCCAUGUUUCUGUGACCUGGUGUAUGGUCAAUCUUUGUGAAUGUGUCAUGUGGCGCUGAGAAGAAGGUGUAUUCCUUUUUGCCCCUAUUUAUUUUUUUCCAUAUGUCUAUUAACUCUAAUUUUUCUAAGAUUUCCUUCACAUCUUCUAACUCUUUCUUAUUUAUUUUUUAUUUGAUUUAUCUAAAUUUGAUAGUGUUUUAUUCAGAUCUCCCACUACUAUGGUUUUACUGUCUAUUUCCUCCUUCAGUUCUUCUAGUUUCUCCAUUAGACAUUUGGGUGCUAUACCAUUUGGUGCAUAUAUGUUGAUUAGUGAUAUUUCCUCAUUGUGUAUAGUCCCUUUUAACAAAAUAUAUUUACCUUCCCUAUCUCUUUUAAUCAGGUCUAUUUUUGUUUUGGCUUUGUCAGAUAUCAUGAUUGCAACUCCUGCUGUAUUUCUAUCAGUUGAGGUCCAAAAGGUCUUACUCCAUCCUUCAAUUCUGACCUUCAAUGAAGUGGUCUACUACAAAAGGAGGAGCCUACAGGAGGACAGAAGUCUGCAGGAGAGAGAAGGCAUUAGGACCCACCAGAUUUGAAAGAUUUAAAGACUGGGGAGAUUGGGGUAAUUGUGUUGUCAAAAUUGCCAAGGGUAGACUGCCUAACUUUCUCUGGCACAAGUGUCAAUGUGCCAGGUAUUGGGGAGUGCCCCCAAAUGCCAAUUGCCUGUACCUGUGCCCCAAGGCUUUCCCACCUAUUAGAGACGGAGUCCAACCCCAUAUAGCAUUACCCAUUUGUCUGCUUAUUUAGUCCGUGACAUCCAGUGUGCCAACAUGGAAUCUAGAGGUCCCCAGACUUGUAUUUUGGAAGGAUUUAGUGAUCCCCAGUUUAUUUGUAGGCAGAAACCCCAGGUUUUGACCUUGUCACAGGAGAGUUCCUCCCUGAGGGAAAGUCCUACUUCACUCAUUUCAGACUUCAAGAUGUUAACUAUCUCUUUUGUCCCAAUGGUUUUUCUCUUUAGGCCAAAGUCCUUUACCAAGGUGUCCCAGCCCUGGGCUGAGUCUUUCCCUUUUGUGUCCAUUGUAAAGCACCAACCCCUCCCUGUUAUUCCUGUCUGGAACUCCUCAUUUUCCUUUUUUACCAUUGUAAAGUCAAUCAACUGUCCCUCUCAUCCUUAGCCCCCAUGUUUCACCUUGAAAGGUAUUUAAGCUCCCCAACUUUAAUGGUUCCUUGGAAAAGCAUGAUUGGCCUUCCCAGGGGUCAGUGUCCAGAGUGGCCAGAGUUCAAUCCUUGGACUCUGCAGUCAUGUAAUAUGCAGCUCUGUGUUGAGACCUACUAUUGCAUUGAACCCCUUUCCCUUGAUUAAAGAGUGAUUUUUGACUAUUUAAUAGUUCUGUUUUUUCCUGGUUAACAAUACAAAUUAGUACAACUUCUCAAAUUUUACUCUUCUAAUAACUAUUUGAGGGGGUAAUAAACUAUCCCAAACUUUGUGAUUCUGAUCUUAU